GCUGAAAAGCACCGUAGACAAGAAGCAGGCUUCAUUUGGAUGACAAGCUCGUCAGCAACAGUUAAUCAGCUGUUCAAAGUGUCAACAGUUACACUG